AUGGCAAAACAUGGCAGGCCAAGCAGCACACCUGCUCCUGCUGCAGCCCAGAGGCACUGUGAUGAGACAGCAGUGACUGACUUCACCUCAGCUAAAGCAGGAAGCGAGGUGAGAUUAGAAACCAAAAUGUCACCACUGGGAAUCAGGCAUGAAUCCUCUGAGCACUGGCAAGCAAUACUGCAGAUGACCCUCAGGUACCUGAUGCAUCAGCAACACCUGCUACAUCAGCAGACAAGGGAACACCACAGUGAAAAUCUUCAGGAGAAGGAGAGAGACAUAGUGAGGGAUUUCAGGACUGGUGUGUAACACGUGGACAGUGAAAUUAAAAACUGAAGACAGAAUUGCCAAGAUAUAACAAGACAUAUCUGUUAUACAUUAAGAGAAAUGAAUAUAAUAUAAUGUAUAUUAAAUGCAUAACAUUUAAUUUUCCCAUUGCACUCACUGUCAUCUGUUUCAUCAUUGACAUUAUUUCCUUUUGCUUUCCACUAGAAAACACAGUUAAGAGGUUUUGUUAAGCAAUUGCUAUAUGAAGCCAAAGGCUAUGCAUCUGUGAUCUGAGCCUGUAAAUCUUUUCACAUGGUAUAUUAAUCUUUUUUAAUAUGUGAACAGUCCGUUGGAAAUCCAGCAGUGUGAGCAGUAUAGUAUUUCUGUUGCAUUUAUAUUCUUCUGUCUCCAUUCUGAAAAAAAAAAUUAAAAAAUCUCAGAUCUAUUCUGAAGCUGUUUGCGUAAGACGUGUCCCAUAUUUUGUGUAAUCUCUCAACUCUGACUUAAGCUUUUCAUAUCACAGAGUGCUCAAUCCCCUUUCUUGAGUUAUGUUUUGUUAUUACUCCAAACAGUUUUUCAGUGCUUUGCACAGCAGAAGGUCUACCUCUUCUAAAUCUAAACAGAAUGGAAAGACUGGACUGAGGUAUAUGUUCAACAUUUCUCAUUAUUGACUAGAGGAAGAGAAGGAACGGUAAUUUUCCAAUAAUAUUUUCUCUAAGUGAAGUGCAAUCUAAGUACAAAAUAUGUCAAAAUAUAAAGGCAACCCUUAGUGUCAAAAGAUUUUUCUGGGUGUAAAAAUCUGCUAAAAUAUCAUGUGCAUUAGAAGCUGCCACAAACAUCUUCAAAUACAGUCUAAAGAAUUAC
rnacentral:lncRNA from 1 species